rnacentral:rRNA from 1 species
CUACGGGGGGCACCAGUGGGGAAUAUUGCACAAUGGACGAAAGUCUGAUGCAGCAACGCCGCGUGGAGGAUGACACAUUUCGGUGCGUAAACUCCUUUUAUAAGAGAAGAUAAUGACGGUAUCUUAUGAAUAAGCUCCGGCUAACUCCGUGCCAGCAGUCGCGGUAAUACGGGGGGAGCAAGCGUUACUCGGAAUUACUGGGCGUAAAGCGCAUGUAGGCGGACUUGUAAGUUGGAAGUGAAAUCCUAUGGCUUAACCAUAGAACUGCUUCCAAAACUACUUGUCUAGAAUGUGGGAGAGGUAGAUGGAAUUUCUGGUGUAGGGGUAAAAUCCGUAGAGAUCAGAAGGAAUACCGAUUGCGAAGGCGAUCUACUGGAACAAUAUUGACGCUGAGAUGCGAAAGCGUGGGGAGCAAACAGGAUUAGAUACCCCGGUAGUC